CGGGCUUUCAUUGAUGCAGAUGUUACAAGGGAAGAAGACCAACCUGCAAAAAUCUUUGAGGCAUAUCCAUGCUUCAAAGAUGUUCGAAAUGCAAUGGAUGAGCUGCGGCGCAUAGUAGGUGGCACCAACAGCAGAUACGUCGAGGAAGUCAAAGGAAGAUGGGCAGACUUUUGUGCCAAGGUACAGUUCUAUGGUGUGUGGAAGAAAGCCCUGAAACCCCCUUUCCCUUUGGAUGUCCGUGGAGUGGAGUUCACACUCGCCCUCUUCAAUGCACUCCCAUCCCUUUUCCCCUCACCAACUUCACCACCAAA